rnacentral:rRNA from 1 species
AUUGAACGCUGGCGGCAGGCUUAACACAUGCAAGUCGAACGAGAUCUUCGGAUCUAGUGGCAGACGGGUGAGGAACACGUGGGAACAUCCCUUUCAGUUCGGAAUAACGUUGGGAAACUAACGCUAAUACCGGAUACGUCCUUCGGGAGAAAGAUUUAUCGCUGAAAGAUUGGCCCGCGUCUGAUUAGCUAGUUGGUGAGGUAAUGGCUCACCAAGGCUACGAUCAGUAGCUGAUCUGAGAGGAUGAUCAGCCACAUUGGGACUGAAACACGGCCCAAACUCCUACGGGAGGCAGCAGUGGGGAAUAUUGGACAAUGAGCGCAAGCCUGAUCCAGCCAUGCCGCGUGAGUGAUGACGGCCUUCGGGUUGUAAAGCUCUUCUGUCCGGGAAGAUAAUGACUGUACCGGAAGAAUAAGCCCCGGCAAACUUCGUGCCAGCCGCCGCGGUAAAAC